rnacentral:rRNA from 1 species
GUAGGUGGCAAGCGUUGUCCGGAAUUAUUGGGCGUAAAGCGCGCGCAGGCGGUCCUUUAAGUCUGAUGUGAAAGCCCACGGCUCAACCGUGGAGGGUCAUUGGAAACUGGGGGACUUGAGUACAGAAGAGGAAAGCGGAAUUCCAAGUGUAGCGGUGAAAUGCGUAGAGAUUUGGAGGAACACCAGUGGCGAAGGCGGCUUUCUGGUCUGUAACUGACGCUGAGGCGCGAAAGCGUGGGGAACAAACAGGAUUAGAUACCCUGGUAGUCCACGCCGUAAACGAUGAGUGCUAAGUGUUAGGGGGUUUCCGCCCCUUAGUGCUGCAGCUAACGCAUUAAGCACUCCGCCUGGGGAGUACGGCCGCAAGGCUG